GCCGGGGUGGGGUAAUGGACAUCCUUGGGGACUGUGGAUCCCCGGACCCGGGUUCGAUUCCCGGUCCCGGCC
rnacentral:tRNA from 5 species